AGCGAACGCUGGCGGCAGGCCUAACACAUGCAAGUCGAACGAAGUCUUCGGACUUAGUGGCGGACGGGUGAGUAACACGUGGGAAUGUACCUUUUGGUUCGGAACAACUCAGGGAAACUUGAGCUAAUACCGGAUGAGCCCUUAGGGGGAAAGAUUUAUCGCCGAAAGAGCGGCCCGCGUUAGAUUAGCUAGUUGGUGAGGUAAAGGCUCACCAAGGCUACGAUCUAUAGCUGGUCUGAGAGGAUGAUCAGCCACACUGGGACUGAGACACGGCCCAGACUCCUACGGGAGGCAGCAGUGGGGAAUCUUGCGCAAUGGGCGAAAGCCUGACGCAGCCAUGCCGCGUGAAUGAUGAAGGUCUUAGGAUUGUAAAAUUCUUUUACCAGGGACGAUAAUGACGGUACCUGGAGAAAAAGCCCCGGCUAACUUCGUGCCAGCAGCCGCCGUAAUAC
rnacentral:rRNA from 1 species